GUGCCAGCAGCCGCGGUAAUACGUAGGUGACGAGCGUUAUCCGGAAUUACUGGGCGUAAAGCGCACGCAAGCGGUUGGACAAGUCUGGCGUGAAAUCUCCUGGCUUAACCAGGAGCGGUCGCUGGAAACUGUCGAGCUUGAGGCGAUGAGAGGGGUGCAGAAUUCCCGGUGUAGUGGUGGAAUGCGUAGAGAUCGGGAGGAAUACCAGUGGCGAAAGCGGCACCCUGGCGUCGUACUGACGCUCAUGUGCGAAAGCGUGGGGAGCGAACGGGAUUAGAAACCCGAGUAGUCC
rnacentral:rRNA from 1 species